rnacentral:rRNA from 1 species
UACGUAGGGUGCGAGCGUUAAUCGGAAUUACUGGGCGUAAAGCGUGCGCAGGCGGUCUGUUAAGACCGAUGUGAAAUCCCCGGGCUUAACCUGGGAACUGCAUUGGUGACUGGCAGGCUUUGAGUGUGGCAGAGGGAGGUAGAAUUCCACGUGUAGCAGUGAAAUGCGUAGAGAUGUGGAGGAAUACCGAUGGCGAAGGCAGCCCCCUGGGCCAACACUGACGCUCAUGCACGAAAGCGUGGGGAGCAAACAGG